GGCGGACGGGUGAGGAAUACAUCGGAAUCUACUCUGUCGUGGGGGAUAACGUAGGGAAACUUACGCUAAUACCGCAUACGACCUACGGUGAAAGCAGGGAUCUUCGGACCUUGCGCGAUUGAAUGAGCCGAUGUCGGAUUAGCUAGUUGGCGGGGUAAAGGCCCACCAAGGCGACGAUCCGUAGCUGGUCUGAGAGGAUGAUCAGCCACACUGGAACUGAGACACGGUCCAGACUCCUACGGGAGGCAGCAGCC
rnacentral:rRNA from 1 species